rnacentral:tRNA from 1 species
GGUGGUAUAGGCCAUUGGGGCUAGUCUUGCUUAAAAGCGAGAAUGCUGUAGGAUCGAAUCCUACUACCACCG